CACAGGGUGCUCAGACUAUUUUGGUACUCAGAAGUCACAGUAAAUCUGAAUUCCACUUACAACAGUAUGUGAUGCCUCUAGACUUCUUUUUGAAAGAUAGUUCUAUUUCAGAGAUCUGGGAAAACUUUAAUGAGAGGAACAAAAGAAACCGCAAAUGCCAUAACUGGAUUCCCUUUGUGGUGUCGAAUCUUGGGACUCAUAUAAAAAAGAAUGAGUUCUACCAUUGAGCUACAUCCCUGUGAAGAACCCUAUGUGAUAUAAAAGUGUUCUUGAAAUAAAUGUUUCAAAAAACUCCAGAUUAUAACAGUUUACAGCUUUUCAAAGAUAGUAUACUUUCUUUGUAAGAUUAUUUUCUCAUUAAUAAAAUAUAAUUCUUCA